rnacentral:rRNA from 1 species
AAAGAUCGAAUGGGGAGAUUCAUCGACGACGAGGCUGGCUUCCGUUGGGCGCGUGAUGCUCCGGAUUAGUUCUCCUUUCGCGGGAGUUCUAGUUGGCGAGGGUACACAGUCUUCGGCAAAUGUUCCGGUCGCGUAGUCGUGCACUUCUCCCCUGGUAGAACGUCGCGACCCGUUGCGUGUCGGUCUACGGCACGAGUUUUCGACUGCCUGCGGCGCCUUGCGCGCUCGCGACAGAGGCUCGUUCGCCCGGCCGGCUGCGCGACGGUACGCUGUGUGGUAAGGUAUAGGGCCGCAUCUAGAUAAUCACAUUGUUUGGGAUGUGUUUUGCGUCGGGCUCGCCGCAAGCCGCGUUAGAUAUAACCGUUGGUACGGACCUGGUGCCGGCUUCGGGUCUAAGCGGCUGUUGGUUGGCAGAGAUCUCUGACUGGCCAGAAGAAAAUACCGGUCAGCGACGCUACUGCUUUGGGUACUCUCAGGACCCGUCUUGAAACACGGACCAAGGAGUCUAACAUGUGCGCGAGUCAUUGGGACA